rnacentral:rRNA from 1 species
UACGUAGGGGGCAAGCGUUGUCCGGAAUCAUUGGGCGUAAAGCGCGUGUAGGCGGCUCGAUAAGUCUGCUGUGAAAGUCCAGGGCUCAACCCUGGAAUGCCGGUGGAAACUGUCGAGCUAGAGUCCGGAAGAGGCGAGUGGAAUUCCUGGUGUAGCGGUGAAAUGCGCAGAUAUCAGGAGGAACACCAAUGGCGAAGGCAGCUCGCUGGGACGGUACUGACGCUGAGACGCGAAAGCAUGGGGAGCGAACAGG